rnacentral:rRNA from 1 species
UACGUAGGGUGCGAGCGUUGUCCGGAAUUACUGGGCGUAAAGAGUUCGUAGGCGGUUUGUCGCGUCGUUCGUGAAAACUUGGGGCUUAACUCCAAGCGUGCGGGCGAUACGGGCAGGCUUGAGUACUACAGGGGAGACUGGAAUUCCUGGUGUAGCGGUGAAAUGCGCAGAUAUCAGGAGGAACACCGGUGGCGAAGGCGGGUCUCUGGGUAGUAACUGACGCUGAGGAACGAAAGCGUGGGUAGCGAACAGG